AGUGAACGCUGGCGGUAGGCCUAACACAUGCAAGUCGAACGGCAGCACAGUAAGAGCUUGCUCUUACGGGUGGCGAGUGGCGGACGGGUGAGGAAUACAUCGGAAUCUACUUUUUCGUGGGGGAUAACGUAGGGAAACUUACGCUAAUACCGCAUACGACCUACGGGUGAAAGCAGGGGAUCUUCGGACCUUGCGCGAUUGAAUGAGCCGAUGUCGGAUGAGCUAGUUGGCGGGGUAAAGGCCCACCAAGGCGACGAUCCGUAGCUGGUCUGAGAGGAUGAUCAGCCACACUGGAACUGAGACACGGUCCAGACUCCUAAGGGAGGCAGCGGUGGGGAAUGUUGGACAAUGGGCGCAAGCCUGAUCCAGCCAUACCGCGUGGGUGAAGAAGGCCUUCGGGUUGUAAAGCCCUUUUGUUGGGAAAGAAAAGCAGCAGGUUAAUACCCCGCUGUUCUGACGGUACCCAAAGAAUAAGCACCGGCUAACUUCGUG
rnacentral:rRNA from 1 species